rnacentral:rRNA from 1 species
CUAGUUGGUGAGGUAACGGCCCACCAAGGCUGUGAUGGGUAGCUGGUCUGAGAGGACGGACAGCCACACUGGGACUGAGACACGGCCCAGACUCCUACGGGGGGCAGCAGUGAGGAAUUUUCGUCAAUGGGGGCAACCCUGAACGAGCAACGCCGCGUGCAGGAUGACACUUUUCGGAGCGUAAACUGCUUUUCUCGGGGACGAGUAAGGACGGUACCCGAGGAAUCAGCCCCGGCUAACUACGUGCCAGCAGCCGCGGUAAUACGUAGGGGGCGAGCGUUGUCCGGAGUUACUGGGCGUAAAGCGCGCGCAGGCGGUCGUGUAAGUUUGGAGUGACAAUCCUCGGCUUAACUGAGGAGGGUCUUUGAAGACUGCACGACUUGAGGGCUCACGAGGGACACGGAAUUCCGGGUGGAGUGGUGAAAUGCGUAGAGAUCCGGAGGAACACCAAAGGCGAAGGCAGUGUCCUGGGGAGUACCUGACGCUCAGGUGCGAAAGCCAGGGGAGCGAACGGGAUUAGAUACCCCGGUAGUCCUGGCUGUAAACGAUGACCACUAGGCGUGGGGGGUAUCGACCCCUUCCGUGCCGUAGCUAACGUGAUAAGUGGUCCGCCUGGGGAGUACGGUCGCAAGAUUAAAACUCAAAGGAAUUGACG